rnacentral:lncRNA from 1 species
AUUUUAUAGGAGAUCCUGAUUUUAUACAAAGCAGUUACACAAAAUCAUUUUUAUAAUUCAGUAUAAGUUUACAAUUGCAGUUUUACACAGUAGUUAUUGCAGCAAUGAUGUAACAACAGUUAACAUUUAUUUUUUUGCUUUUUUUUUUUAUGUCCCUUUCCAAUCAAUGAGAUUACUAAAGGACAGGGCCAGUUCCAACUACAGGCUACACCCCUGGAGAGGUUUUGGAUAGUGAAUGAUGGGGAUUGCUGAGAUUUCUCAUGAAAAGUUUUUUCAGGCCAAAAAAUCUUUCAUGAGAUGUUGGACCUGGGUCUUCCUGCAUGGUAUGCCAACACAUUACUAUGCAGCUAUCCAGCCACCACAGUUAACAUAUUAUCAAGAGCUAUUGAUGGUAAAGUUAUCAUAUAUAAUAAAAUAUUAUAAUAUAAUUCAGAUUAUAUAAAUUGAAACAUACUUCAAUAAUUACAUUGCCUCGUAGACAGACAUUAUAUAAUCUUGCC